rnacentral:rRNA from 1 species
UACAGAGGUCUCAAGCGUUGUUCGGAUUUAUUGGGCGUAAAGGGUGCGUAGGUGGCGCGCUAAGUCAGGUGUGAAAUUUCGGAGCUUAACUUCGAAACUGCAUUCGAUACUGCGGUGCUUGAGGACUGGAGAGGAGACUGGAAUUCCUGGUGUAGCAGUGAAAUGCGUAGAGAUCAUGAGGAAGACCAGUGGCGAAGGCGGAUCGCUGGGCAGUGACUGACACUGAGACGCGAAAGCGUGGGGAGCAAACAGG